rnacentral:rRNA from 1 species
CAGUCGCCGCGGUAAUACGGAGGGUGCAAGCGUUAAUCGGAAUUACUGGGCGUAAAGCGCACGCAGGCGGUCUGACAAGUCAGAUGUGAAAUCCCCGGGCUUAACCUGGGAACUGCAUUUGAAACUGUCAGGCUGGAGUCUUGUAGAGGGGGGUAGAAUUCCAGGUGUAGCGGUGAAAUGCGUAGAGAUCUGGAGGAAUACCGGUGGCGAAGGCGGCCCCCUGGACAAAGACUGACGCUCAGGUGCAAAAGCGUGGGGAGCAAACAGGAUUAGAUACCCCAGUAGUCCCUGUCUCUUAUAC